rnacentral:lncRNA from 1 species
GCCGGGAAGCCACUGCAGAGAACUCUUAAAUUGAAGGAUGCUAAAGUGUAGCUCUCCACAGAUAGUGGCUUCUGGUUGGGGUGCAGGUGGGGAAGGGCUCAGUUUUCUUUAAGGGGCUGGACACUGGGAGUUUGAGCUUGCUCCAGUGAGUGUAUAAGCAACACAAAUUGGACUUGUUUUGUUUGUUUGCUUUUGCUUCUCUCUUUCAGGGGAGGAGUCACAAGAGUGGGGAACAGACCUAGGAGGACUGCCAUGGCACACGUGGAGGUCAGAGGACAACUUGCGGGAGUUGUCCACCAUGUGGGUCCCACAGAUCAAACACAGAACAGGACGAAGCUUUAAAUGUCACCAGAAGAUGUAAAAGGGCAAAGAAGAGAGAAACAAAUGGAUUAUGACCAGGACAUCAGCGAGUCCUCAAGAGGUGCCGAGUGGGGAGAUCACCGGGGACAUCUGCUUCUGAGUGCCCUGCAGGUCCCUAGCAGGUGACAGUUGGAGGCAGUUGAUCUUGGAAGUAACUAGUCCUCUUUCCUAAAGCUCUCCAUCCUGAACCUUCUUCUGAAGGGAAAAAAAACCUAUUGUGUUGCUUCCCACCUCACAGGGACAAUAAUAUCUUGAGCAGGUACACCUUGAGUGCCUUUAAGGAUUUCACCAGAAUCAACCCGGUUCUUACCAAAACCUAGUGAGGAGGAAACAUCCUCCCGCUUGCUCGGAGAUGAAAAACAUUCAGGAGAUAAAGAUGGUGUUGACUGCACACAAUUGUAAAUGUGUUAAAUACCACAAAA